GUGCUUAUUUUGGCAGCACAUAUGCUAAAAUUGAAAUGAUAUAGAGUAGGUUAGCAUGACCCUGUGCAAGUUUUCAUUUAUUUUCUUCAUGUGUGUAGUAUAUGU